AUAGGUUAAAGUAAAAUAACAGAUCAUCGUCGCUCGAAGCCAUCGCCGCCCGAAGCCAUUGCCGCAACAACUCUUGCCUCUCCGCAAUAGCUCUUUGCCUCUCUUCACUACCGCCGCCGUCGCCGGACUCCUCUCUACCUCUCGGCACUCACCGCCACUAGCAGUAGACUCCUCUCCGCCUCUCUGCACUGACCAUCGCCGGCCGCAAGACUCCACUUUGCCUCUCCGCACUCGCCGUCGUCUACCGCAAGACUUCCAUCUCUCCGUAUCGUAGGACCACAGCAAGAGUAAGCAAGCCUUUGCUAACCACUCCACACUCUACAUCAAGCCAAAAGCUCAAAGCCAAAGAUUCCAUGGUUGCUUGCACUCAACCUCGACGAGUUGCUGCUAUGUCUGUUUCUCGCCGAGUUGCUGAAGAGAUGGAUGUAACAAUAGGUGAUGAAGUUGAUUAUAGCAUUAGGUUUGAAGAUUGCAGUAAUCACAAGACUAUAUAGAACCCCACUGUCACCAUAUGAUGCCAGAUAUUUAACUGAUGGUAUGCUGUUAAGAGAAGCACUGGCUGAUCCAUUAUUGGAGAGAUACAAGGUGAUAAUUCUCGAUGAGACUGAUGUUAAAGGUGCAUCACGUUUUUCUUGGUGGAUCAUGUUAGAAAGUUUGAGUUGAUAAAGUUUUGGUGGAAAAGAGGUAUUCCUAAUUCGAUCAAAUGAUGAAAUGCAGUUUCUCGAUGAUGCAAUAGGAAGCACGGUCGCAUGGUUAUCUAAAUUUAUAGUAUUGUGUGAUUGAUACAUAAUAUACUAAUUUGUGUGGAUUGUAAGUUUAAUUGUUGUUAUGUAAUAACUAGUUUGAUAGAGAUUUCAUAUCUUGUUUAAAAUCUUUAAAUUUUUUUGGUAUAAUGAAAAACUAUGACUUUUAUUAA